rnacentral:rRNA from 1 species
AUUGAACGCUGGCGGCAUGCCUUACACAUGCAAGUCGAACGGCAGCACGGGAGCAAUCCUGGUGGCGAGUGGCGAACGGGUGAGUAAAGUAUCGGAACGUGCCCAGUCGUGGGGGAUAACGUAGCGAAAGUUACGCUAAUACCGCAUACGAUCUAUGGAUGAAAGCGGGGGAUCGCAAGACCUCGCGCGAUUGGAGCGGCCGAUAUCAGAUUAGGUAGUUGGUGGGGUAAAGGCCCACCAAGCCGACGAUCUGUAGCUGGUCUGAGAGGACGACCGGCGACACUGGGAGUGAGACACGGCACAGACGCCUACGGGGGGCAGCAGUGGGGAAUUUUGGACAAUGGGCGAAAGCCUGAUCCAGCCAUGCCGAGUGCAGGAUGAAGGCCUUCGGGUUGUAAACUGAUUUUGUACGGAACGAAAAGGACUGCCCUAAUACGGUGGUCCCAUGACGGUACCGUAAGAAUAAGCACCGGCUAACUACGUGCCAGCCGCCGCUGUAAUAC